UAAUNCGGGGGGCNGCNGUGGGGAAUNUUGCNCNGUGGGCGCCCGCCUGAGGCCCCCCUGCCGCGUGUAUGAAGAAGGCCUUCGGGUUGUAAAGUACUUUCAGCAGUGAGGAAGGUGGGUAUGUCAAUAGCCUACUCAUUUGACGUCCGCUGCAAAAAAAGCACCGGCUAACUCCGUGCCACNCGCCGCGGUAAAACGGAGGGGGCGAGCGUUAAUCGAAAAUACUGGGGCGUAAGCGCAUGCCGGGGGAUGAUUAAGUCACAUGUGAAAACCCGGCGCUCCCCCCCGGGAAUAAAAUUUGCAACUGGUCCCCCAGAGUACUGUAGAGGGGGGUAAAAUUUCCCGUGUACCGGCGAAAUCCAAAUACUAAGGAAAACCGGGGGGAAGGGGCCCCCCGGAAAAAACUGACCUCCGAUGCAAACGGGGGGGACCAACAGAUUAAAACCCCGGGUAUCCCCCCC
rnacentral:rRNA from 1 species